GCGGUCAGCUCCUCUCAAAUGAAUCAGCUUACCAGUGUUUGGUGGGCAUCACAGGUGUGAUAACUAUCUGCGCUUGUGGUUUUCCACCAAGUAACCUUCAACAGUGGAGGUUCACUGGAGCUCACAGACGUCUCUCCUCAGUGAGGACAGCCCUUUGAAUGUUUGAUCUCAAAUCAGGUAGGACUACCCGCUGAACUUAA
rnacentral:misc_RNA from 1 species